rnacentral:lncRNA from 1 species
UAUCUAUAGCUUUCAUCUCAGAUGUGAUGUUACCCAGGCAGACAGCAGAGCUAUCAGCUCUUAUCUUUCCUUUACCCUCAUCUUAAGACACUCCUGUCCCUCCUCUUUCGAAAUGAUCAACUCAUAACCUCCUCUUAAUCCCACCCCUUCCCCUUUUAGAGGAUCUCAUGCUUAAAUUCGCAGAGUCCCUCUUUUUUUAAGAAGUCUCCAGCUGCCUUUGGAUGGACCAAGCUUCCAGGUAAGGGAGUUCCAUUUCACGUUCUGUCUCUGCAAAGGGAUCCUGAGGAGACUGUUUUUUUGGAGGAAGAACCCAGAACAGUGAAUCCAGAAGAAAUUGGCAUAUUCUCUGGGCUUUGAUCCACUAACUACAUAUUAAAAGUUCCCCCUCAGUCUAUGUAGAGCUGACCAGGGAAGAACACUUUGGAGGUAUGUAUAAUCAAAUUUAUAAGAAAAAUCCUGGGAAGAAAAAGUAGAAGUGAGAAGACAAGUGCUAAUAGUAACAAAAACUGGGGAGGUAGAAACAUGACCUUUCCUCUUUCUUAUUCAAGGGCUGUUGGAACAAGGGAAGUAACCUCAAAUGCUCCAGGGGACUGCUUUGAACGGAUUCUUAACCUAAGAGAAAGAAGACUGGUGACUUGAUCAGACUCCGCUCACCUAGGCUCCCCAACCCAGGGGUAGGGCUAACACAGGUGACCAAAUGGUGGUUUUGAAAUGGAUAUUUCUUGCCUUUCUUGUGAGUUUGAUCUUAGAAGUUUGAGGGUCUAGUGUUCCUGGGUCCCCAGUUGGUGCUAUUUGUGCUGCUGAAGAUUCCCGCUUCAGCUACCAUAGUUUUUGGGAGGAAGAGACAGCCACUGACAGCAAAUAAGCACGACCUCCGGCCUGGCUUGCCAGAGGACUUUACACUUAGAAGGUGAUUCUGACGGUGUGAGCAAUCCUGUAAAAUGUUUCAAAUUUUGAAGUUUUAGGUAUCAACCUCUUGGAAAAAGAUAAUGGG